rnacentral:rRNA from 1 species
CCUACGGGAGGCUGCAGUAGGGAAUCUUCCACAAUGGGCGAAAGCCUGAUGGAGCAACGCCGCGUGGGUGAAGAAGGUCUUCGUAUCGUAAAACCCUGUUGUUAGAGAAGAAAGUGCGUGAGAGUAACUGUUCACGUUUCGACGGUAUCUAACCAGAAAGCCACGGCUAACUACGUGCCAGCAGCCGCGGUAAUACGUAGGUGGCAAGCGUUCUCCGGAUUUAUUGGGCGUAAAGGGAACGCAGGCGGUCUUUUAAGUCUGAUGUGAAAGCCUUCGGCUUAACCGGAGUAGUGCAUUGGAAACUGGGAGACGUGAGUGCAGAAGAGGAGAGUGGAACUCCAUGGGUAGCGGUGAAAUGCGUAGAUAUAUGGAAGAACACCAGUGGCGAAAGCGGCUCUCUGGUCUGUAACUGACGCUGAGGUUCGAAAGCGUGGGUAGCAAACAGGAUUAGAUACCCGGGUAGUC